rnacentral:rRNA from 1 species
AGUGAACGCUGGCGGUAGGCCUAACACAUGCAAGUCGAACGGCAGCACAGUAAGAGCUUGCUCUUACGGGUGGCGAGUGGCGGACGGGUGAGGAAUACAUCGGAAUCUACUUUUUCGUGGGGGAUAACGUAGGGAAACUUACGCUAAUACCGCAUACGACCUACGGGUGAAAGCAGGGGAUCUUCGGACCUUGCGCGAUUGAAUGAGCCGAUGUCGGAUUAGCUAGUUGGCGGGGUAAAGGCCCACCAAGGCGACGAUCCGUAGCUGGUCUGAGAGGAUGAGCAGCCACACUGGAACUGAGACACGGUCCAGACUCCUACGGGAGGCAGCAGUGGGGAAUAUUGGAAAAUGGGCGCAAGCCUGAUCCAGCCAUACCGCGUGGGUGAAGAAGGCCUUCGGGUUGUAAAGCCCUUUUGUUGGGAAAGAAAAGCAGCAGGUUAAUACCCCGCUGUUCUGACGGUACCCAAAGAAUAAGCACCGGCUAACUUCGU